CCUACGGGGUGCAGCAGUCGAGAAUCAUUCACAAUGGGGGAAACCCUGAUGGUGCGACGCCGCGUGGGGGAAUGAAGGUCUUCGGAUUGUAAACCCCUGUCAUGUGGGAGCAAAUUAAAAAGAUAGUACCACAAGAGGAAGAGACGGCUAACUCUGUGCCAGCAGCCGCGGUAAUACAGAGGUCUCAAGCGUUGUUCGGAAUCACUGGGCGUAAAGCGUGCGUAGGCUGUUUCGUAAGUCGUGUGUGAAAGGCGCGGGCUCAACCCGCGGACGGCACAUGAUACUGCGAGACUAGAGUAAGGGAGGGGGAACCGGAAUUCUCGGUGUAGCAGUGAAAUGCGUAGAUAUCGAGAGGAACACUCGUGGCGAAGGCGGGUUCCUGGACAGUAACUGACGCUGAGGCACGAAGGCCAGGGGAGCGAAAGGGAUUAGAUACCCGGGUAGUC
rnacentral:rRNA from 1 species